rnacentral:lncRNA from 1 species
UGAAGAACAGGGUGAAGAAAUUAUAAGUCCAGGAGCUCGCCUGAAGAACAGGGUGAAGAAAAGAGAAAGCCCAGGAGACCACCUGAAGAAUAAGGUGAAGAAAUUGUAAGUCUAGGAGCCCACCUGAAGAACAUGGUGAAGAAAUUAUAAGUCCAGGAGCUCGCCUGAAGAACAGGGUGAAGAAAUUGUAAGUUCAAGAGCCCGCUUGAAGAACAGGGUGAAGAAAAAAUAAAGUUCAGGAGUCCGCCUGAAGAACAGGGUGAAGAAAUAGUAAGUCCAGGAGCCUGCCUGAAAAACAGGGUGAAGAAAUUGUAAGUCCAGGAGUUCGCCUGAAGAACAGGGUGAAGAAAAAGGAAGUCCAAGAGCCCGCCUAAAGAACAGGGUAAAGAAAAUCAAGUUCAGGAGUCCUUCUGAAGAACACGGCGAAGGAAAAGCAAGUCAGGAUCCAGCCUGAAGAAUGAGGUGAAUUUUCAAGUCCAAGCCGGAAGAAAAUCUGAAGAAUAAACCAAUUAUCAUGUUUCCCUUUAAUGCCAAAAGCCAACGAGGAGGAAUAUUUCGCAUAUCAAGUUCAACUCCAAAUAGUGACUAUCUCACCAUUUGAGAAGUCAUGAAGAUUCAAGUCAAGAUUCCAAAAAAGCAGCAUAGAUAGGAUCUUUCACUUGUAUCUUUAUUUUAUUUUUGUUAUUCAUUUGAAUGUAAAAGGUAGAAGUCGUUAACCGGAAACUCGACAGAAUCUCAUUCGACUUUUAACUCUUUCUCUCAUUAUGUUACCUUUGAACUACUUGUGACCUGAUUUUCUUAUAAUCCGGGAUAGGUAGGAUGUUCAAAACAAGGACUCGGUCAUAUUUUUCCUUUUAUUUUAAUUUAAGUUUAUUUUAUUCUUAAUUUUUAAAUAAUUGGAUGAUCAAAAAUCAUAUCUUGUUUACUUCUUUGUAUGAAAACUCUUCAAGAUUUCACACCAAGAGAGGCAAAAAUGUAGACACGUGAUUUUUUAUCUUCCUUAAAUUUUAAAUUGCUUAUCAAUAUUAAAAAUUUAUACUUAUAUUUAAUCUGAUAUAUUUUUAUUCUUAUUUUAUUUUCAUAAUUUUUAGUUUAAAUUUUAAAUAAAUAAGUUAAUAGUUUUAGUACUAUCUUAAUUCUAUUAUUUUUGGCUAUUUAUAAACUUUUAUUUUAUUUUCUUAAAUAUAAAAUUAAUUAGUUAUAUUUAUAUUUAUUAUUAUUAUCAUUCCAUUAUCUUAUUUAUUUAUUCAUUUACUUUUAUUUAUUAUUAUUAAAUUUUUAAAAAAAAGAGAAUAGAAUUUAUUUUUAAAUUUCAAAUUUUCUCCCUCUCCUUAUGUGAUGAUUAACCGUUCCUCAAAAAGUCCUUUUAUUUAAGGACUCUCACCCUAGCAAAACAAAGGCCGUACAUCUACACCUACAGAAAAGUCCUUUUAUUCAAGGACUCUCAUCCUAGAGAAACAAAGGCCGUACAUCUACUCCUAUAGACAUCAGACACUGAUAAAAACAAGAAUCGGACAAUGAAAAACAUCAAAAUCAGAGGGAAAAAAAAAAGGGAAUAAAGGGAAAAGUCAGAUAAAAAGAGAGAAAAGAGUGUAAAGUUGAAUUCGGAUUCCGUUUAAGUUUUUAGUGCCGAUUGUUUCUUGCAUUAUUAUUCAGUUCGAAUAAUUACAUGUUCUUUUUCAAUCUUGAACCAUUUUAUGUUGUAAGUUUACUGGACAAUAUGAACAAAAAAUAUUCUAAUAAUUUUAUGCGUUAUUCAAUCUGUAGUUGAACAAUUAUAUGAAUCGCUGUUAAUAUAUGUUAUGCAAUUGUGUUAUUUAAUAUUGAUACAUUUUCACAUUAAUAUGCACAAAUUUACUGUACACAUAUAGUGACACACAAUAGAGAAAAAAUUACAUUGAAAUAUCGAAAUACUUUCUGAUGUUUUUCCCUUUUAUCAUACAUUGUUAAAACAUACAACAUACACAUCUACACUUACAUAUACCCGCACAGUAAAAGAAACAGAAAAAUGAAAAGGAGAAAACCAGUGAAGAGGGAAAAGAUCGAGGAAAGGAAAAAAUCAGUGAUCGAGAGAGAUCGGUGAACGGAGGGAACCAACCGGCUAGUUUUGAGUUUUUCGGUGGAAAACCUGUCGGACUCAACGAAACCUUACCGGAAAAUACCUCAAUCGCCUCCGCUCUUCUCUCUUUCUCACGUCAUCGACUGGCGAAACCGGCGAAAUCAGCGCCGCCUCCCCUCCCUUCUUUCCCCUCUCCAGCGGUGGAUUUGGCCAGAACCGCCAUUUCUGGCGAAUCCAGCGCUGCCUACCCCCUUCCAUUUUCCCGUCGAAUCAGCUACCAAUGAUGAGAAGAAUCUCGUCUGAAAACUAUCACCCCGUCAAAACCAACCCAUUUUUUGGUCUAUUCAGGUCGAUUCUCGCCGAAAUCGUCACUGAUGGACCCCCUUUUGCUCCAGAUCCGGCGAGGAUCACCAGAUCCAACCUUGCCUCGCCGGAAAAUCCAUCAAAUUCGGCCACCGCCACUGGUUCCCCCAUCCUCUCUCUAUUUUUUCGUAAUUUUCGGCCCAACCAUGGCCAUCGUCGGAACAAAUAGCUCUGUCACUACCAACGUUGAAUUUAUGAAACUGAUAUGAAGUGAAUUUCUGUUUAUAUGCUUAAAUUUUAUGAAUUGUUUAUUUUAGGAUUUAUAUUUAAGUUGACUUACUUGAUUUGAUAUUAAUAAAAAUAUAUUAAUUUGAGAUUAUAAUAAAAAUUAGAAAUAAGGAUAAUUAGUUUUUUUUGGUGUGUAUAUUUAUAUUAUUAUUAUUAUUAUUAUUAUUAUUAUUAUUAUUAUUAUUAUUAUUAUUUUUAGUUUAUUUUAUUUUUAUUUUAUUUAUUUUAUUUUAUUUUUA